UACAAAUGCACCAGCAACAUUUCAGACCCUUAUGAAUGAUAUAUUUCAGCCAUUUCUUAGGAAAUAUGUGUUGGUAUCUCUGAUGAUAUCCUCAUUUACAGCCCUGAUUUAGCAUCCCUUAUUUCUCAUUUAGAAGAUGUGUUUAAGGUGCUAGCAGAUCAGCAGCUUUUUGCUAAGCUUUCAAAGUGUUCUUUUGCUGAAAAACAAGUGGAGUAUUUGGGGCAUAUUAUUUCAGAAAAGGGGGUAGCUAGAGAUCUAGAAAGAAUAAGGGCUAUGGUAUAAUGGCCAUUGCCCAAGUUAAUUAAGGAAUUGAGGAGUUUUUGGGGGCUGACUGGCUAUUGCAGAAAAUUUAUUAGAAACUAUACUCUUAUCAAUAAACCCUUGAUUGAUUUAUUAAAAAAAGAUGCCUUUCAGUGGUCUUCUAUGACACAACAUGCAUUUGAGAGCUUGAGGAAUGCUGUGUCCUCUGCCCCUUGUUAGCUAUGACUGAUUUUAGCCCACCAUUUAUUGUUGAAUCUGAUGCAGCAGUCAAGGGAUGGGAGCUGUAUUACAGCAGCAGGGACGCCCUAUUGCUUUUGUUUCCAAGGCAUUUGGGGAUGGGGCAUUCAGUCUGCAAAAAGGAAUUAAUAGCAAUUACUUUUGUUGUUUCUAAGUGGAGACAUUAUCUAGAGCAGGGGCAAUUUUUUUAUUAAAACAGAUCAUGAAAGCAUCAAGUAUUUGCUGGAACAGAGACUUCAUACUAACCUGCAGCAGAGGGGAAUAUCUAAGUUGUUAGGGUUGGAUUAUAAGAUUUUAUAUAGAAAGGGGAUUGAGAAUAAGGUGGCUGAUGCUUUGUCUAGAUGGAGUUUUGAGGAGCCUUCUGAGAAUAAUUGUUUUGCUUUGCAAUCUUUCCCUAAUUCCUGCUUGGAUGUCUAAUUUUGCAGCCACUUAUGAGGGGAAUGUGAGGGCUGAAGAGUUAAUUCAGCAGUUUUCAGUGGCAGUUGAUAGCGUUUCAGGAUUUGCUUUCAAAUCUGGAUUGUUGCAUUAUAAAGGCAGAUUGUUUGUGGGCUGUAGCACUUCUUUGAGGAGUCACCUUAUUUCUUUAUAUCACAAUUCACCUUUGGGAGGACAUUCAGGGGUAUUACGGACUUGUCAUAAGUUGAAGAAACAUUUUCAUUGGCCUUGGUUAAAGGAAGAUGUGGUCGAUUGGAUUAAGAGAUGUGGUCGAUUGGAUUAAGAAAUGUGAUCAGUGUGCAAGAUGUAAGGGAGAAACAUGUGCAACAUCUGGGUUGUUGCAGCCUAUACCAAUUCCUAACCAUGCUUGGCAGUAUAUCUCCAUGGAUUUUGUGGAGCAGUUGUGCAAGUCACUUGGCAAGGAUACCAUCUUAGUUGUGUGUAGAUUUACCAAGCAUGCUCAUUUUAUGGCUCUCUCUCACCCCAUUCUGCUUCUUCAAUUGCAGGACUAUUUUUCGAUCAUGUUUUCAAGUUGGAUGGGGCACCUCAAACUAUUGUUUCAGACAGAUAUAAGGUUUUUACUAGCCUUUUUUGGAGAGAAUUGUUUAAGAAAUUGGGUACUUCUCUCUGUUCCAGUACCUCUUAUCAUCCUCAAUCUGAUGGACAGACUGAGAGGGUAAAUCAAUGUUUGGGGGGGUAUUUAAGAAGCAUGGCUCAUUUAAAACCUACUACUUGGGGUAGGUGUUUAUCUGUAGCAGAAUGGUGGUACAAUUCGAUCUACCAUAGUGCUAUUAGGAUGACUUCAUUUGAAGCACUUUAUGGACACUAUCCUCCAAUGAUUCCAGCCUUGCCUACUGAGAUGACAAUAGUUGGUGCAGUAGAAGAUUUUCUUAAGGACAGGCAAGCUAUUACUUGCUCAAAGAGAAUUUAUAGCUUGCUAGGAAUAGAAUGAAGCAGCAAAUGGAUAAGAGGAGGACUGAAAGGGUAUUUCAAGUAGGAGAUUGGGUGUUUUUGAAAUUGCAGCCAUAUAGGCAGACCACUAUUGCUGUAAGGAAACAUCUCAAGUUAUCUGCCAAGUAUUAUGGCCCUUUUCAGGUGUUGGAGAGAGCAGGCACAAUUGCUUAUAAAUUGCAGCUGCCAGAAUCUUCUACUGUCCAUCCAGUUUUUCAUGUUUCAUUACUUAAGAAGUUUGGCAAUAAUCAGAUACCUACUUUGGCGCUUCCUCAAUUGGUGGAAGAUCAGGUGGAAGUCAAGCCAUUAAAGGUGCUGCAGACUAUGGUGAUUGACGGGCAGAAUAUGCAAAUUCCUCAGUCUCUUAUUCAGUGGAAGGGCUUAUCUCAGGAGGAUGCUACUUGGGAGGCUAAUUCUUUUCUCAUGUUCCAGUUUCCAACUUUUGCCACCUCCUUUAGGGCAAGGAGGGGGUAUUGUUACAUACCAGAGAGAGAGGUUUAGGAAUAGAGUAGGGAAGUGAUUGGAUGUAAUUCAGGUCUAAAAGGUGCUGGAGUUAAUUUUGUUGGUUUUGGAGGGAAGAUAACGGAUUGUAGAAAGGGGCGGGAAGUGUAUGUUAGGAAAUAACAGAUUACUAGAAUUGGUAUAAAUACA
rnacentral:misc_RNA from 1 species